rnacentral:rRNA from 1 species
AGAACGAACGCUGGCGGCAUGCCUAAUACAUGCAAGUCGAACGAACUCUUCGGAGUUAGUGGCGCACGGGUGCGUAACGCGUGGGAAUCUGCCCCUUGGUUCGGAAUAACAGUUGGAAACGACUGCUAAUACCGGAUGAUGACGAAAGUCCAAAGAUUUAUCGCCAAGGGAUGAGCCCGCGUAGGAUUAGCUAGUUGGUGAGGUAAAGGCUCACCAAGGCAACGAUCCUUAGCUGGUCUGAGAGGAUGAUCAGCCACACUGGGACUGAGACACGGCCCAGACUCCUACGGGAGGCAGCAGUAGGGAAUAUUGGACAAUGGGCGAAAGCCUGAUCCAGCAAUGCCGCGUGAGUGAUGAAGGCCUUAGGUUGUAAAGCUCUUUUACCCGAGAUGAUAAUGAACAGUAUCGGAGAAUAAGCCCCGGACUAACCGUCCGUGCCAGCAGCCGCGGU